AGAAAAUCAAUGUGUUUGCAUAGAGGCAAGUUAAGGUAGAAAUCUAGAAUUUUUUUUAAAUUAACUUUGUAGAACCUUUCAACCUGGGAGUUAAAAUCAGUUAAAACUGUAAGAAUUUAAAUUAAGUUUUAGGUGAUGUUGAAUUAGGUUUGAGAGACUUUUUACACAAAAGUCUGAGUGCAUUUUCCUCAGCUCUAUUGUUUGUAGCACUGUUUGUACAGUAAAUUGUUUUCCUUUUUUCACAUUCUCACAUAAGAAUGUCAUCUCUGUACAUCACAACAAAGAUCAGCCGUUCUAACAGACGUCCUGCUCUGCGUUUGUUUUCCUUUCUUCCCUAGCGUAUUGUUGACUCACACUGUGUUUGCCCCUCUUUCUGUGGCAGAUAAGCGAAGGACAUGGUAACAAACCAUUAGCAUUUAGUUGGAUUUGUCCCUCAUGUGGUCAUCAUUACUGAAUCGCAUUAGACACAGGAACGCAGUCUUGAGAAAAGCCAUUCUGUAAGAGGCUGGCGUGGCAGACUUGAGUCCCUGUAAAAAGCCUAUCUGCAGCCACAGUGCUGCGGUGCUCCUGGCAGAUAUGUGUAAUCAGUAGAUUUAUGCCGUCUCCGUGCUGUUGCAUAGUCUGAGCCUGUGAGGUAAGGCUCCCUUAUCUGCGGACUCAGACCAGAGCAGAUGAUGAAAAAAACUACUUGCAGUUACUUUACAUUGUGCUCACAAGGCAUCACAAUGAAGGAUUACAGAGCCGGCAACAAAAGGGAGAAGUCGAAGUUGGGAGAAAUUAAUCAGAAGUUUAACACUGCUGCAGUUUUGAUACGCGUGUGAAGAAGGUUUACUUUUGUGUAUUAUUAAGAUGAAUACUUUAGUGUACAUGUCUUUGUCCCAGCAGUUUUUUUUGUAUUGGAUCCACAGAUUUAUGAUGCAGUUCUAGAAUAACCUUCCUCGUUAAGCCAUAAUGCCAGACAUUCAUUACCUCUGGCGCAGAGACUAAUGACACUAUUAAUCAGCUAUGAAUAGAGCCUGGCAGUGUCAGCGUGAGGCUGACAUCUCCGUACUGUAACAGUCCUGGGCACGUAUGUACAAGGCACACUGACAGAAUCACACUGACUCGUGGCCAGCAUGUCAGUUACCUACACUCAAAAAGUUGUAUCAAGAUUGCAUUCUUUCCUCAGCCUCUCCCACAAUGUAUUUCCAGACAAGCUUUGGUUCUGUUACAUUUUUGCUUCCAAAAGGCCAACAUCAUAUAUCAGUCCCUUUAUUCACUGAUUCAGACUGGGCCAAAGGAACAAGUCGUCUGUACGACACGCUGAGUGUUUUUCUGUACUAUUGAAAAAAAUGACCCUCACUGACCCCUGAAAAAUGCCCUUCUCUUUAGAAAAGCACUUAAGUCUCCCUUGUUGUAUAUCACUGUCUCUGAGCCCAACAUGAACUGCAGCUGGGCCAGUCUCCAUGGACUUUCCAUUGACAAAGCAAUUUCAGUUAAAGCACGGCGAAGCAAAAUAAUAAUUUGGCCAAACUUAAGUCUUUUGCUUUGUUUUAUUCAAUUUGUUAUAAUUUAUUUCAUCUUAGAAUUACAACAAACUCCAACAUACAAAAAUACAGUUUUUGCUGCCAGACAGUGGAAUGGACUGGUUUACCUUACAGUGAGAAGACUAUGGGUCUGAUCCCUGACCAAAUUCCUAAAUGAGUUAAAGUAUGUAUUUAAUUCAAUUUAUAGAAACAAGUCUGACCACAGACAGUUAGAUAGUGCUUCAAUUCCCAGUCUUUUCAAUUUAUAAUAUAUAUGUAUACAUAUAUCUACAUAUAUGUACAUCUACAUGUAUCAUAUAUGUAUAUAUUUAUAUAUAUAUUUAGAUAUACUGUAUAUAACAUAUAUAUCUUUUUGUGGAAGUAGUUUUUUUGAAGAACGAUGUGUCUGUAAAUACAUCUCAUCAUUUAAAAAACUUUCUUGUCUGAACUUUUGCCGUCUGUUCUGACUCUCAACAGGCAGAAGUUUGUUUCAAGAUGAUGCAAAUCUGACUCAUACCAAACAUUAUUGUGGACAUGUGGGAUUUUAAACUUGUUGUGUUUUUUUUCUCCUAUUCACCGUUUUGUGUAUAUAGGAAAGAUGUAGAACCUUGCGGGGAAAAUGGUUUUUAAAUGUGUUUUUAAUGUCAGAAAAAUGGUAAUUAGUGACACAAAUAUAGGAGAACAGACGUUCCUCAGCCUGACUGCUUCUGGUUAUCGACUGAAGUUUUGAUUACCGUUGUUGUCACUAUAUUUCCUCAUUUUCUAAGGUUAUAAUUACUACUGUUGUUACCUUGAGUUCUAUGUUACAAGCUGAAUUGUAGCCCAUCCUUUAUCUCAGGCUAUUAUGAUCAUAAAGAUUCCUAAUCUGUGGAUGAAUAAUAAUAAUAAAAAAUUAUCAUCCCAUAAAAGAUAUUUAUUUUGUGCCUCUUAUCAGGCACUAAAAGUUAGUUUUGAAUUCUGUGGCCAUUGGAUCAACAAACAAGCUGAGUUCAACCCUAAGUUAAUUUGUUUAUUUUCACCUGACCAGGUUUCCAAUACUCCUUCAUUGGUUUUCAUUUAAUAAUUGAUUCGGCUCUUGGCUUAUAUAUGAAUUACAUGCUGUUUGAACUGCAUGGCAUCAAAACUCACUGUUUGAGUUCUGCCUCCCAGGCAAAACAUCACCGCUCUGAUACCUUUGGUUUUAAACACAGUGUUUGUGAGUCUGGGUUUGCCUCAGCUAAUCCCAGCUUAAGAUGCUCAGUGUCAAUAAAUAAUGUUUUUAUUAUGGUUCUUUUAUUCCCUGCUUUUCUCUACUCCAUUAUUUAAUUUAGUGUUUUCGCAGUCGUCCAAGUCUUUGUGCUGUUAUUAAGAAAUGUAGGCUUUUGCACGUUGUUGUUUGGAAAUCCUUUGUUUUCAUUUACAAGGUGAAUCACAAUUAAAUGGUGACAGUAAUUGUUCCUUGUAUUAGUCAUGGAGGAUGUGGAUGUGUCUCCUCCUCAACAAACAGGCCUAAAGCUGCUGCUAAUCCUAUCAGGGUAUGGUGUGUUGACGUUGUGUUGAUCCCAUCACUGUUCAUGUAGAACACUGCUGUGUUGAGCUUUUUUUUCUUUUGUGUUUGUAGCUUUAUAAGUGAGGAUAAUUGCAAAAAAAAAAAACGGUAAUUGCUACUGUAGUCUGAAAGAAUUAGGACAACAAUUUGUCAGAUACUGAAGCUGAUCCUUUGCCAGGCAAGUUGGUUUGAAAUGAUUGGAUUAGAUUUUCUUUUACAAAUUCAUGAACGAGAGACCAGAAAACCCGGGGAAUUCUUCACUUCAGUAGCCUGAUCUACAUCUGUCUGAGUUUAAGAUAAGUCUGAAAUCAGCUCAGUUUAAAAAAAGAAACAUGUGAGAUCAGCCUUGACUGACUUUGAAGAGCUCGUGUCCCAGCUCUGAGGCUUUGUCAGAUCGGCGUCAGGAUCAGACUCACUCAUCUGACAAGUGUACUGAUUCUGAGCUUUGCAAAACGUAACAAGUGUUUUCUUAUGAGGCCGUUGUUCCCAUGAUCCAUUAGGAGUCAUUAAGGUGGCGUUCACUCACAGUCACAGCCUGACUGACACUGAUAGUCGUGGCUUUGAAUAUUCAUCACUGUGACAUCAGUGUCCAGUGUCAGUCUUUCUGCCCUUUUUUCUUCUGCUCUACAUUUUUUUUUCCAUAAUUAAGGAUAUGACUUGGAACAGAACACUUUCUUAAAAACGUCCACAUGUCACAGUGAUUGGCCUUAGCACUGUGCCUUAGUUUGCAGGCAAAAACUAUCAUUUAAUUUCUUUGUAAAACACCAUUCACUUUAAAACAUCCUGCAGAUGGUGGGGAAUAAAAGUUGCAAACUGCAUUAAAGAAAUACUGUUUAUAAUAACAUAAUUAUUUGCAUGAUAAACUACUUAUGUGGUGGCAUAAAAUCAAAGUAUAAAACAUCUCUACACAAAUGAAAUUACAACCUUUCCAGGCAGCACUGUUGUGUAGUGGUUUGUGCUAAAGCCCCACAUCAAAAAGGUCAGCAGUUCGAUACUGUGCUCACCCAUGUGGUCUUUGUGUACAGGAUUUUAAUUUAGUUUUUAGUUUUUUUUUUUUAGAAGUUGGUACAGACCGAGGAGGUCAGAUCAGGAUAUUUAGGUUUGCAGUGGUGUAUGUGUGAAUGGUGACGUACACACAUCUGAGUUCAGACAUGUGUAUGUAUGUUAGUUUACUACAGUAUGUUCUUCACGUCACUGUGAUCACAAACAUUGAGGUGAAGUGGACCUUUGAAUGUAAACACACAUUGAAAGUCAAGUGCGUGUGUAAUCCUGCUCAAAUGGCCAAACGUCAACAGAACAGCUGAGGUUUUGUGUCUCUGUUUCUACAGUUGUUUAAUGAUGUUCCAGUGUUUGCACUCUACACACUCACUUCAUCUCUUUAUUUAACUUCUGCCUUUCUGGACAUUUUUCCUCUUGAGUUAUGUUUCACCCACUCUCCAGGCAAAUGGAAAACAGAUCUCACUCAGUCUGACCGCAGAUUGUUAAAGAAGAAAAAAAAAACACCAAAUGAGCUCACAAACAUUUCUGUGGCUUGGCUGUGGAAUGUGACCAAAGUGUUUAAAAACAUCACCUGACGCGGUAUUGAAAGAACUCAGGCAACAGAAUUAAGGGUUUGGCAGGUUUAGGUCUUAGCCCUCAGUCUGAAACUGAACCGUUUAAUUUCCUGAACAUCCAGACUGUUUGCUUGUGUGCUUUUCAAGAUCUGGAAGGUGGAUUUGUCUCCUGUUCAAACAGCGUCUUUUUGUGUUUUCCAUCCAACGCUCGCUAAUUUAUAAGUCAAUAAAAAUGUCACAAAACUGCCGACUAAUCACCUGUUAAAUGUUAACUGAUUGGCAGGGAGGAGGUGUCUGACAGUGAAAUGUGUGCCACUCGUCUCUGCUCCCACUGCCCUGACGUUGGAGUGCUCUGUGUAGACAUGCAUGUGUAGAAUCCCCUUGUAUUGUGCUCUUAAUUGUCAGCUUUGUGACUGUAGUAAAAGUGUUUAAUUUUU